GCAUCAGGUAACAUUAAAUCGUACCCCAAACCGACACAGGUGGUCAGGUAGAGAAUACUCAGGCGCUUGAGAGAACUCGGGUGAAGGAACUAGGCAAAAUGGUGCCGUAACUUCGGGAGAAGGCACGCUGGCGUUAGGUGAAAGGACUAGCUCCUGGAGCUGAAGCCAGUCGCAGAUACCAGCUGGCUGCAACUGUUUAAUAAAAACACAGCACUGUGCAAACACGAAAGUGGACGUAUACGGUGUGACGCCUGCCCGGUGCUGGAAGGUUAAUUGAUAGGGUCAGCCGCAAGGCGAAGCUCUUGAUCGAAGCCCCAGUAAACGGCGGCCGUAACUAUAACGGUCCUAAGGUAGCGAAAUUCCUUGUCGGGUAAGUUCCGACCUGCACGAAUGGCGUAAUGAUGGCCAGGCUGUCUCCACCCGAGACUCAGUGAAAUUGAACUCGCUGUGAAGAUGCAGUGUACCCGCGGCAAGACGGAAAGACCCCGUGAACCUUUACUAUAGCUUGACACUGAACAUUGAGCCUUGAUGUGUAGGAUAGGUGGGAGGCCUUGAAGUGUGGACGCCAGUCUGCAUGGAGCCAACCUUGAAAUACCACCCUUUAAUGUUUGAUGUUCUAACUCGGCCCCAUGAUCUGGGGUGAGGACAGUGUCUGGUGGGUAGUUUGACUGGGGCGGUCUCCUCCCAAAGAGUAACGGAGGAGCACGAAGGUUAGCUAAUCACGGUCGGACAUCGUGAGGUUAGUGCAAAGGCAUAAGCUAGCUUGACUGCGAGAGUGACGGCUCGAGCAGGUACGAAAGUAGGUCUUAGUGAUCCGGUGGUUCUGAAUGGAAGGGCCAUCGCUCAACGGAUAAAAGGUACUCCGGGGAUAACAGGCUGAUACCGCCCAAGAGUUCAUAUCGACGGCGGUGUUUGGCACCUCGAUGUCGGCUCAUCACAUCCUGGGGCUGAAGUAGGUCCCAAGGGUAUGGCUGUUCGCCAUUUAAAGUGGUACGCGAGCUGGGUUUAGAACGUCGUGAGACAGUUCGGUCCCUAUCUGCCGUGGGCGUUGGAAGAUUGAGAGGGGCUGCUCCUAGUACGAGAGGACCGGAGUGGACGAAUCACUGGUGUUCGGGUUGUCAUGCCAAUGGCAUUGCCCGGUAGCUAAAUUCGGAAGAGAUAACCGCUGAAAGCAUCUAAGCGGGAAACUUGCCUCGAGAUGAGUCUUCCCUGGGGCUUAAAGCCCCCUGAAGGAACGUUAAAGACUAUGACGUUGAUAGGCUGGGUGUGUAAGUGCAGCGAUGUAUUGAGCUAACCAGUACUAAUGAUCCGUGAGGCUUAACCUU
rnacentral:rRNA from 1 species